UACGGAAGGCAGCAGUGGGGAAUAUUGCACAAUGGGCGAAAGCCUGAUGCAGCUAUGCCGCGUGUAUGAAGAAGGCCUUAGGGUUGUAAAGUACUUUCAUCGGGGAGGAAAAAACAAAAACUAAUAAUUUUAUUUUCUUGACGUUACCCGAAAAAGAAGCACCGGCUAACUCCGUGCCAGCAGCCGCGGUAAUACGGAGGGUGCUAGCGUUAAUCAGAAUUACUGGGCGUAAAGAGCACGUAGGUGGUUUUUUAAGUUCAGAUGUGAAAUCCCUGGGCUUAACCUAGGAACUGCAUUUUGAAACUGAAAUACUAGAGUAUCGUAGAGGGAGGUAGAAUUCUAGGUGUAGCGGUGAAAUGCGUAGAGAUGUGGAGGAAGUACCGGUGGCGAGGCGGCCCCGUGGACAAAGACUGACGCUCAUGUGCGAAAGCGUGGGGAGCAAACGAGGGAUUAGAUACC
rnacentral:rRNA from 1 species